CUUUGAGGAUGGCUCAGGACGAACGCUGGCGGCGUGCCUAACCCCUUCAAGUCGAGCGGAGACAGGGAGUAGCUUGCUACGAGCUGUUUUAGCGGCGGACGGGUGAGUAACGCGUGAGCAUCCUUUCCCAGACAGGGGAAUAACACACCGAAAGGUGUACUAAUACCGCAUAAGACCACGGAAUCACAUGGUUCUGGGGUAAAAGAUUUAUCGGUUUGGGGUGGGCUCGCGUCCGAUUAGGUAGUUGGUGAGGUAACGGCCCACCAAGCCGACGAUCGGUAGCCGACCUGAGAGGGUGAUCGGCCACAUUGGGACUGAGACACGGCCCAAACUCCUACGGGAGGCAGCAGUGGGGAAUAUUGGGCAAUGGAGGAAACUCUGACCCAGCAACGCCGCGUGGAGGAAGAAGGUUUUCGGAUCGUAAACUCCUGUCCUUGGAGACGAGUAGAAGACGGUAUCCAAGGAGGAAGCCCCGGCUAACUACGUGCCAGCAGCCGCGGUAAUACGUAGGGGGCAAGCGUUGUCCGGAAUAAUUGGGCGUAAAGGGCGCGUAGGCGGCUCGGUAAGUCUGGAGUGAAAGUCCUGCUUUUAAGGUGGGAAUUGCUUUGGAUACUGUCGGGCUUGAGUGCAGGAGAGGUUAGUGGAAUUCCCAGUGUAGCGGUGAAAUGCGUAGAGAUUGGGAGGAACACCAGUGGCGAAGGCGACUAACUGGACUGUAACUGACGCUGAGGCGCGAAAGUGUGGGGAGCAAACAGGAUUAGAUACCCUGGUAGUCCACACUGUAAACGAUGAAUGCUAGGAGUAGGGGGUAUCGACCCCUUCUGUGCCGCAGUCAACACAAUAAGCAUUCCGCCUGGGGAGUACGGCCGCAAGG
rnacentral:rRNA from 1 species